rnacentral:misc_RNA from 1 species
AACGCACCUUGCGCUCCUUGGUAUUCCGAGGAGCAUGCCUGUUUGAGUGUCAUGAAAUUCUCAACUGCCUCAGGGUUUGCCCCCAGAGGUGAAGUUGGACUUUGGAGGUUUCCUGCUGGCGCUUUUGAGUAAGCUCGUCGGCUCCUCUUGAAUGCAUGAGCUUUUCCGGUGAGAGGGGACAUGGUGAAGCGACACCGAUGUGAUAAUUAUCUACGUCGGUCGAACUCUCGAGUCCUUCCACACGGCACACAGCCCUCUUCGACGUGCAGAGAUGCAUGCCGAGCUUUGACACCUUUGACCUCAAAUCAGGUAGGACUACCCGCUGAACUUAA